rnacentral:sRNA from 1 species
AGCAGCUCUAUCCCCCUGUACCGAUCCUCAGAGGAAGAGAAGAGAGUGACAGUCAUCAAAGCCCCGCAUUACCCAGGGAUCGGGCCCGUGGAUGAAUCCGGAAUCCCCACAGCAAUUAGAACGACAGUCGACCGGCCCAAGGACUGGUACAAGACGAUGUUUAAGCAAAUUCACAUGGUGCACAAGCCGGAUGAUGACACAGACAUGUAUAAUACUCCUUAUACAUACAAUGCAGGUCUGUACAACCCACCCUACAGUGCUCAGUCACACCCUGCUGCAAAGACCCAAACCUACAGACCUCUUUCCAAAAGCCACUCUGACAACAGCCCCAAUGCCUUUAAGGAUGUGUCCUCCCCAGUGCCUCCCCCACAUGUUCCACCUCCAGUCCCACCGCUUCGACCAAGAGAUCGGUCUUCAACAGAAAAGCAUGACUGGGAUCCUCCAGACAGAAAAGUGGACACAAGAAAAUUUCGGUCUGAGCCAAGGAGUAUUUUUGAAUAUGAACCUGGCAAGUCAUCAAUUCUUCAGCAUGAAAGACCAGUUACCAAGCCUCAAGCUUCCUGAUUGAUUGUCAUUCUAAUGGAUCAAGAUUAUAUUUCACUUUGCAUUUAAUUAUAUGCAAACAAAAAUAUCUAUACACUUAAGAAGAACCACUUGCCUCCUCGAAGCGCAGGUUCACACAUAGGUCUUCCCUUGGCCUUCUUUAGUUUUGAUUCCCCAAUACUCCCUUGCAUGUCCUUUGCUUCCCCUCAGAAAUCAGUGCCCUCAGGAUUUUCUUUGAAACUCCACAGUUCCUCUGCAUCUCCUUCCAAACCUACUUCUAGGAAAACAUUUGCAAUCAAUUGCAAUUUACUCUCAUUUUUGCUUUAAAAGAAUUUUAGGUGUCAGUGAACAGGAAAAAGAGAGUUUUCUUUGUGGAGCUCCUUCAAGAGUCUCCAAGAAAUCACACUCAUAUAUAAUCCAAGGCCAGCCCUGUGGUUUAAUUGGAAACUCUAGCCUUGCCACACCCAACAUGAGU